GAUGAAGAACGUAGCGAAAUGCGAUAAGUAAUGUGAAUUGCAGAAUUCAGUGAAUCAUCGAAUCUUUGAACGCACAUUGCGCCCUUUGGCAUUCCGAAGGGCACACCUGUCCGAGCGCCGUCGCACAACUGAGGCGCAGCCUUGCGUUGGCGGGCGACUUGUGAGUAGCGAGUCGCCGCCCAAACGAGACGGCGCCGCGCCGCGGCCGACGAAGCACGAAAGCGGAAGUCGACGCGGAGGCGGUUGCCUGUAGGAAGACACGGCUUGGCCUCGGAUCAGGUGGGGAUACCCGCUGAACUUAAGCAUAUCAAUAAGCGGAGGA
rnacentral:misc_RNA from 1 species